GAUGAACGCUGGCGGCGUGCCUAACACAUGCAAGUCGAACGGACAGACCAGGAGCUUGCUCGGCUGACGUUAGCGGCGGACGGGAGAGAAACACGUGUAUCACCCACCUGUCAGACUGGGAUAAUUACGGGAAACGGGCGCUAAUACCGGAUAAUAUAUUGCUGCGCAUGGUUCCAUAGUAAAUUACGGUUUUGGUGUCACUUAUAGCUGCAUACGCGCCGCAUUAUCUAGUUGGUGAGGUAACGGCUUACCACGGCAACGAUGCGUAGCCGACCUGAGAGGGUGAUCGGCCACCUGGGAAGUGAGACAGGGUCCAGACUCCUACGGGAGGCAGCAGUAGGGAAUCUUCCGCAAUGGGGGAAAGCCUGACGGAGCAACGCGGAGUGAGUGAUGAAGGUGCUCGGAUCGGAAAGCUCUGUUAUUAGGUAAGAACAAAUGUGGAAGUAACUAUGCAGGUCUUGACGGUACCUAAUCAGAAAGCAACGGCUAACUACGUG
rnacentral:rRNA from 1 species